UAGUCAUAUGCUUGUUUCAAAGAUUAAGCCAUGCAUGUCUAAGUAUAAACACCUUUAUACUGUGAGACUGCGUACAGCUCAUUAAAUCAGUAAUUAUUUAUUUGAUGGUACCUUUCUACAUGGAUACCCGUAGUAAUUCUAGAGCUAAUACAUGCACAAAGGCCCGACUCGCAAGGGAAGGGUUGUAUUUAUUAGAUUAAAAACCAAUGCAGGUUCUGCCUGGUUUGUGGUGAUUCAUAAUAACUGAUCGGACCACAUGGCCUCGCGCCGGUGGUAG
rnacentral:rRNA from 1 species